UACGAAGGGGGCUAGCGUUGUUCGGAAUGACUGGGCGUAAAGGGCGCGUAGGCGGUUUGUACAGUCAGGUGUGAAAUUCCCGGGCUCAACCUGGGGGCUGCACUUGAUACGUAUGGACUGGAGUGGGGAAGAGGGUCGUGGAAUUCCCAGUGUAGAGGUGAAAUUCGUAGAUAUUGGGAAGAACACCGGUGGCGAAGGCGGCGACCUGGUCCUUGACUGACGCUGAGGCGCGAAAGCUGGGGGAGCGAACGGG
rnacentral:rRNA from 1 species